GGGAACUCAUCUGCUAAAGCUGCAGCACCUAUCUUUCCUCCCCUUGACAAAAUGUUAGCAAGAUUUUGAAGCACACAAUUAAAAAUUGAAGUACCAAGCAACCUUGGAAGAAGACACUUGAGACUCGCUAUCCAAGAGCUACAACUGAUUUCAGGGGGAUUAUUAGUUUGAUGACAAGGAAUGCUCGAGGAUGACAAGGAUGAUCAAAGUUAGGAAACAACUCUUAUGUAAAGAACAGCAAAGAAGACUGGGACUCAGCCUGAGGGAAAAAAAUAUGUGGGAAGAUACGCUACUGGUCUUAAAAUCAGGGAUGAUGACAUG